UACGAAGGGGGCUAGCGUUGUUCGGAAUUACUGGGCGUAAAGCGCGCGCAGGCGGCUAUCCAAGUCAGUGGGGAAAGCCCGGAGCUCAACUCCGGAACUGCCAUUGAAACUGUUUAGCUUGAGGACGAGAGAGGUGAGUGGAAUUCCCAGUGUAGAGGUGAAAUUCGUAGAUAUUGGGAAGAACACCGGUGGCGAAGGCGGCUCACUGGCUCGUAUCUGACGCUCAGGCGCGACAGCGUGGGGAUCAAACAGG
rnacentral:rRNA from 1 species